rnacentral:tRNA from 1 species
GUGGUCGUAGCUCAGUUGGUUAGAGCAUCAGAUUGUGGUUCUGAGGGUCGAGGGUUCGAAACCCUUCGAUCACCCUA